AAGAUGACUUUUCAUCUAGGUAGUCAUUGAGUGGAAGGAACGUGAACUGACGAGUCGACAACAGGCUACUACGAUGAACAACGCAAUCAAGCUGUUGAUCUUGGCUUUUGCUGUCGCCAUGCUGAUCACAACUGGUGAUGCUCUGACAUGCACAAGCUGUUUGCCCUUUGGUAGACGGUGUCUUC